CAGCCAUAUCACAUUGAAACACCAGUUCUUGUAUGAUCACCAAAGUUAAGCAAUGUUGAGUCUGUUCAGUACCUAGAUGGGUGACCGCUUGGGAAUAGCAGGUGCUGUAAG